GUCUACGGCCAUGCUCCCUUGAACAAGCCCAAUCCCGUCUGAUCUCAAAAGCUAAGCAGGGUCGGACCUGGUUAGUACUUGGAUGGGAGACCACCUUGGAAGACCAGGUGCUGUAGGGA
rfam:Pteropus alecto contig23626, whole genome shotgun sequence.